UCGGGGUACACGAGCGGCGAACGGGUGAGUAACACGUGGGUGAUCUGCCCUGCACUUCGGGAUAAGCCUGGGAAACUGGGUCUAAUACCGGAUAUGACCUUCGGCUGCAUGGCUGAGGGUGGAAAGGUUUACUGGUGCAGGAUGGGCCCGCGGCCUAUCAGCUUGUUGGUGGGGUAAUGGCCUACCAAGGCGACGACGGGUAGCCGACCUGAGAGGGUGACCGGCCACACUGGGACUGAGACACGGCCCAGACUCCUACGGGAGGCAGCAGUGGGGAAUAUUGCACAAUGGGCGAAAGCCUGAUGCAGCGACGCCGCGUGAGGGAUGACGGCCUUCGGGUUGUAAACCUCUUUCAGCAGGGACGAAGCGAAAGUGACGGUACCUGCAGAAGAAGCACCGGCCAACUACGUGCCAGCAGCCGCGGUAAUACGUAGGGUGCAAGCGUUGUCCGGAAUUACUGGGCGUAAAGAGCUCGUAGGCGGUUUGUCGCGUCGUCUGUGAAAACUCGAGGCUCAACCUCGAGCUUGCAGGCGAUACGGGCAGACUUGAGUACUGCAGGGGAGACUGGAAUUCCUGGUGUAGCGGUGAAAUGCGCAGAUAUCAGGAGGAACACCGGUGGCGAAGGCGGGUCUCUGGGCAGUAACUGACGCUGAGGAGCGAAAGCGUGGGUAGCGAACAGGAUUAGAUACCCUGGUAGUCCACGCCGUAAACGGUGGGCGCUAGGUGUGGGUUU
rnacentral:rRNA from 1 species